GACGAACGCUGGCGGCGUGCUUAACACAUGCAAGUCGAACGGCAAGGCCCUGCUUUUGUGGGGUGCUCGAGUGGCGAACGGGUGAGUAACACGUGAGUAACCUGCCCUUGACUUUGGGAUAACUUCAGGAAACUGGGGCUAAUACCGGAUAGGAGCUCCUGCUGCAUGGUGGGGGUUGGAAAGUUUCGGCGGUUGGGGCUGGACUCGCGGCUUAUCAGCUUGUUGGUGGGGUAGUGGCUUACCAAGGCUUUGACGGGUAGCCGGCCUGAGAGGGUGACCGGCCACAAUGGGACUGAGAGACGGCCCAGACGGCUACGGGAGGCAGCAGUGGGGAAUAUUGCACAAUGGGCGCAAGCCUGAUGCAGCAACGCCGCGUGCGGGAUGACGGCCUUCGGGUUGUAAACCGCUUUCGCCUGUGACGAAGCGGGAGUGACGGUAAUGGGUAAAGAAGCACCGGCUAACUACGUG
rnacentral:rRNA from 1 species